rnacentral:tRNA from 1 species
UGGGGUUUAGUUUAUUUUAAAAUAUUUAAAUUGCAAUUAAAAAAAAAACUUUCAGUUUAAUCCUUA